CGUGCUGCUGCUGUUGCUGCUGCUGCUGUAGAUACUCGCCGUGGCCGCCGCCGCCUCCGCCGCCGUCCACGUCCAAGGUAUGCCUGCUGCUCAUGGGGGAAGAAGUGAGCUUGUAAUCCCUUUGGAGCUAGAGUUACAGAUGGCUAUGAGUUGCCACAGGGAUCCUGGAGAUUUGACCGAGCCAGAAGACCACUCACAGAUUGAUCCUCUUGUUCCACGAUGUGAGUUGCAGAUAUCAAACUCAGGUGGCCAGGCCUGGCAGCAAGCUCUUCUGGCUGUUCAGCCAUCUCACUGGCCCUGUGAAAAUCUUUUGAAGAUGGACUCACAUGAGCACAAGUUCAGAAAUGAAUAGUUUGA
rnacentral:lncRNA from 1 species